rnacentral:rRNA from 1 species
CCUUCGGGUGACAGCAGUGGGGAAUAUUGGGCAAUGGGCGCAAGCCUGACCCAGCAACGCCGCGUGAAGGAAGAAGGCUUUCGGGUUGUAAACUUCUUUUCUCAGGGACGAAGAAAGUGACGGUACCUGAGGAAUAAGCCACGGCUAACUACGUGCCAGCAGCCGCUGUAUUCCGUAGGUGGCAAGCGUUAUCCGGAUUUAUUGGGUGUAAAGGGCGUGUAGGCGGGAGCGCAAGUCAGAUGUGAAAACUCAGGGCCCAACCCUGAGCCUGCAUUUGAAACUGUGUUUCUUGAGUGCGGGGGAGGCAGUCGGAAUUCGGUGUGUAGCGGUGAAAUGCGUAGAUAUACGGAAGAACACCAGUGGCGAAGGCAGAUUGCUGGACAGUAACUGACGCUGAGGCGCGAAAGCGUGGGGAGCGAACAGGAUUAGAUACCCCUGUAGUC